UCGAGAAUCUUCCACAAUGGGCGAAAGCCUGAUGGAGCGACGCCGCGUGAUUGAUGAAGUCCUUCGGGACGUAAAAAUCUUUUGUCAGGGAGAAAGUUUAUUGAUAGUACCUGACGAAUAAGAGGUUGCUAAACUCGUGCCAGCAGCAGCGGUAAUACGAGUGCCUCAAGCGUUAUCCGGAAUUAUUGGGCGUAAAGGGUGUGUAGGUGGUUUUAUUAGUCUCUUGUUAAAACUCUGGGCUUAACUCAGAAUCUGCAAGGGAAACGGUAAGACUAGAGGAUGUGAGGGGUCUGCGGAACUCAUGGUGUAGCGGUGAAAUGCGUUGAUAUCAUGGGGAACACCAAAAGCGAAGGCAGCAGACUGGAACAUUCCUGACACUGAGACACGAAAGCGUGGGUAGCGAAUGGG
rnacentral:rRNA from 1 species